AGAAUGACGGGGGCCCGCACAAGCGGCGGAGCAUGCGGAUUAAUUCGAUGCAACGCGAAGAACCUUACCAAGGCUUGACAUUUACGAGAACGCUGCAGAAAUGUAGAACUCUUUGGACACUCGUAAACAGGUGGUGCAUGGUUGUCGUCAGCUCGUGUCGUGAGAUGUUGGGUUAAGUCCCGCAACGAGCGCAACCCUCGUUCUAUGUGCCAGCGCGUA
rnacentral:rRNA from 2 species